CGGGUAUGCCUUAGUACGGCGAGUGAAGCGGCAAAAGCUCAAAUUUGAAAUCUGGUACCUUCGGUGCCCGAGUUGUAAUUUGGAGAGGGCAACUUUGGGGCCGUUCCUUGUCUAUGUUCCUUGGAACAGGACGUCAUAGAGGGUGAGAAUCCCGUGUGGCGAGGAGUGCGGUUCUUUGUAAAGUGCCUUCGAAGAGUCGAGUUGUUUGGGAAUGCAGCUCUAAGUGGGUGGUAAAUUCCAUCUAAAGCUAAAUAUUGGCGAGAGACCGAUAGCGAACAAGUACAGUGAUGGAAAGAUGAAAAGAACUUUGAAAAGAGAGUGAAAAAGUACGUGAAAUUGUUGAAAGGGAAGGGCAUUUGAUCAGACAUGGUGUUUUGUGCCCUCUGCUCCUUGUGGGUAGGGGAAUCUCGCAUUUCACUGGGCCAGCAUCAGUUUUGGUGGCAGGAUAAAUCCAUAGGAAUGUAGCUUGCCUCGGUAAGUAUUAUAGCCUGUGGGAAUACUGCCAGCUGGGACUGAGGACUGCGACGUAAGUCAAGGAUGCUGGCAUAAUGGUUAUAUGCCGCCCGUCUUAAAAACACGAAACACAAAAAAA
rnacentral:rRNA from 1 species